GGGGAGGUUGUGAAAUAGCUGUCUAUCACAGGCAGCUAGGAACUGCUUGCCCACUUUUUUUUUUGUUCUGAAAGAAAGGAUACAGACCAUCUGGGCCAGUUUUACUGAAUCCAGCUUCAGCUAGAAAUCCAAGCUAGUUUAUAGAAGAUGAUUAGAUGGACAGAAAAUGUUAAGAGAGAAACACUGCCAUAAAGGCUGAGUGCAGUGGCGCGAUCUUAACUCACUGCAACCUCCACCUCCUGGGCUCAAGCAAUUCUCCUGCCUCAGCCUCGCGAGUAGCUGAGACUACAGGU